rnacentral:rRNA from 1 species
ACGGGGGUGCAGCAGGCGAGAAAAACUUUGCAAUGUGCGAAAGCACGACAAGGUUAAUCCGAGUGGUUUCUGCUAAAGGAACCUUUUGUCAGUCCUAGAAACACUGAUGAAUAAGGGGUGGGCAAGUUCUGGUGUCAGCCGCCGCGGUAAAACCAGCACCUCAAGUGGUCAGGAUGAUUAUUGGGCCUAAAGCAUCCGUAGCCGGCUCUGUAAGUUUUCGGUUAAAUCUGUACGCUCAACGUACAGGCUGCCGGGAAUACUGCAAAGCUAGGGAGUGGGAGAGGUAGACGGUACUCGGGUAAGGAAGGGGUAAAAUCCUUUGAUCUAUUGAUGACCACCUGUGGCGAAGGCGGUCUACCAGAACACGUCCGACGGUGAGGGAUGAAAGCUGGGGGAGCAAACCGGAUUAGAUACCCGGGUAGUCCCAGCUGUAAACCAUGCAAACUCAGUGAUGCAUUGGCUUGUGGCCAAUGCAGUGCUGCAGGGUAAGCCGUUAA